CCCAGUUCGGAUUGUAGUCUGCAACUCGACUACAUGAAGCCGGAAUCGCUAGUAAUCGCGGAUCAGAAUGCCGCGGUGAAUACGUUCCCGGGUCUUGUACACACCGCCCGUCACACCAUGGGAGCCGGAAAUGCCCGAAGUCAGUGACCCAACCAAUAAGGAGGGAGCUGCCGAAGGCAGGUCUGGUGACUGGGGUGAAGUCGUAACAAGGUAUC
rnacentral:rRNA from 1 species